rnacentral:sRNA from 1 species
CCGCAGGUUCGAGUUGAGCGCAGCGAAACAACGGAGCCGCUCGCGGCGACGGCCCGAAGGGCGAGCGAAGCGAGUCAUCCUGCACGACCCACCA